GACGAACGCUGGCGGCGUGCUUAACACAUGCAAGUCGAGCGGUAAGGCCCUUUCGGGGGUACACGAGCGGCGAACGGGUGAGUAACACGUGGGUUACCUGCCCUCAGCUCUGGGAUAAGCCUGGGAAACCGGGUCUAAUACUGGAUAUGACUCCAUGACGCAUGUUGUGGGGUGGAAAGCCUUGUGCGGCUGAGGAUGGGCCCGCGGCCUAUCAGCUUGUUGGUGGGGUGAUGGCCUACCAAGGCGACGACGGGUAGCCGGCCUGAGAGGGCGACCGGCCACACUGGGACUGAGACACGGCCCAGACUCCUACGGGAGGCAGCAGGUGGGGAAUCUUGCGCAAUGGGCGAAAGCCUGACGCAGCGACGCCGCGUGAGGGAUGACGGCCU
rnacentral:rRNA from 1 species